rnacentral:rRNA from 1 species
UACGUAGGGCGCAAGCGUUGUCCGGAAUUAUUGGGCGUAAAGAGCUCGUAGGCGGUUUGUCGCGUCGGCCGUGAAAACUUGGGGCUUAACCCCAAGCCUGCGGUCGAUACGGGCAGACUUGAGUUCGGCAGGGGAGACUGGAAUUCCUGGUGUAGCGGUGAAAUGCGCAGAUAUCAGGAGGAACACCGGUGGCGAAGGCGGGUCUCUGGGCCGAUACUGACGCUGAGGAGCGAAAGCGUGGGGAGCGAACAGG